rnacentral:rRNA from 1 species
AGAGUGAACGCUGGCGGCAGGCCUAAUACAUGCAAGUCGAACGGCAGCACAGCAGAGCUUGCUCGUGGUGGGUGGCGAGUGGCGGACGGGUGAGGAAUACAUGGGAAUCUGCCCAGUCGUGGGGAUAACGUAGGGAAACUUACGCUAAUACCGCAUGCGCCCUUCGGGGGAAAGCCGGGGACCUUCGGGCCUGGCGCGAUUGGAUGAGCCCAUGUCGGAUUAGCUAGUUGGCGGGGUAAUGGCCCACCAAGGCGACGAUCCGUAGCUGGUCUGAGAGGAUGAUCAGCCACACUGGAACUGAGACACGGUCCAGACUCCUACGGGAGGCAGCAGUAGGGAAUAUUGGACAAUGGGCGCAAGCCUGAUCCAGCCAUGCCGCGUGAGUGAAGAAGGCCCUCGGGUUGUAAAGCUCUUUUGUCCGGAAAGAAAAGCGCCGGGUUAAUACCCUGGUGUCCUGACGGUACCGGAAGAAUAAGCACCGGCUAACUUCGUG